CGGGGUGUAGCACAGGGGCAGCGCGCGUCGUUCGACGACGAGGUCGAAGGUUCAAAUCCUUUCACCCCGACCA
rnacentral:tRNA from 1 species